GGGGAUGUCGGGUUUCGACAGACGAACAGGUUGAAGGAUUGCAGGCCGAGGUGCCGGUACGCACUCUCGUUAAACAACCGGCAAAAAAAUAGUUGCCAAACAAGCAACACCUUCUUACGCUCUAGCUGCCUAAACACCAGCAAGCGUCGUCUGCCUGACUUUUUCCUGUGGGGUCAGUGUCAGGCGUCACAAACGCAGGGUGCGAUAACAGCGAUCGCCUUCUAGCUGUUAUCAAAGACCAAGAAGGCCAGCGUAGAGAGAUCCCGUCGGUGGGAGUUCUCUGCGUAAUGAAAAACGCCGACUAAGCCUGUAGUACAUUCUUUGAUAGGUUCGUUUGGACGGGGAGUUCAACUCUCCCCCAUCUCCACCA
rnacentral:tmRNA from 1 species